AUUGAACGCUGGCGGAAUGCUUUACACAUGCAAGUCGAACGGCAGCACGGACUUCGGUCUGGUGGCGAGUGGCGAACGGGUGAGUAAUGUAUCGGAACGUGCCCAGUCGUGGGGGAUAACGUAGUGAAAAUUACGCUAAUACCGCAUACGAUCUAUGGAUGAAAGCGGGGGAUCGCAAGACCUCGCGCGAUUGGAGCGGCCGAUAUCAGAUUAGGUAGUUGGUGGGGUAAAGGCACACCAAGCCAACGAUCUGUAGCUGGUCUGAGAGGACGACAAGACACACUGGAACUGAGACACGGUCCAGACUCCUACGGGAGGCAGCAGUGGGGAAUUUUGGACAAUGGGCGAAAGCCUGAUCCAGCCAUUCCGCGUGCAGGAUGAAGGCCCUCGGGUUGUAAACUGCUUUUGUACGGAACGAAAAGGUUUCUACUAAUACUAGGAGCUCAUGACGGUACUGUAAGAAUAAGCACCGGCUAACUACGUGCCAGCCGCCGCUGUAA
rnacentral:rRNA from 1 species